CAGUAGCCGCGGUAAUACGAAGGGUGCAAGCGUUAAUCGGAAUUACUGGGCGUAAAGCGUGCGUAGGCGGUUUGUUAAGUCUGCUGUGAAAUCCCCGGGCUCAACCUGGGAAUGGCAGUGGAUACUGGCUCGCUAGAGUGUGUCAGAGGAUGGUGGAAUUCCCGGUGUAGCGGUGAAAUGCGUAGAGAUCGGGAGGAACAUCAGUGGCGAAGGCGGCCAUCUGGGACAACACUGACGCUGAGGCACGAAAGCGUGGGGAGCAAACAGGAUUAGAUACCCCCGUAGUCCCUGUCUCUUAUAC
rnacentral:rRNA from 1 species